CCCAUGCAACUAAAAUCUUCUAACUGUUAGCACAAAGUUGCAACAUAGCUUCUAUCGUUGUCUCUCUCUCAAUUUCUCUCUGACUCUGCCUCUCUCUCAAUCUUUGUAUGUCUCUCUCUCUCACUGUGUGUAUGUAUGUGCGUAUUAUUCCUCUCCGUGUGUGGGUAUACAUACAUAACUAUUCCUUGUUUGCUCUUUAUACAUAAGUAUACGAAUUGCAUACAUACAAAGAUGUUUCUGGUGCCAAAAAUAUUGCAAUAUGUCAAACCCUCUAAUGCUGAAGAAUGGAAAUAUGUCAAAUAUAUUGACUAAGAAUAAUCUCUUAGUGUUGUGCAUGUAGACAUAUAUAUACCUACAAAUCAGAAACAGGGAUAGUAUGUUUGCAAGCUGAGGGGUAUCAAUGCAAAAUUAAAAGGUGGGGAUAUUGCCAAACCAAUUCCCAUACUCAAACACGCAAUAAGAUUCAAGGCAUUUGGACUACACAUUCUUAGACGAAUAUCAAAGUUUAUGGUGAGAAUUGUAUUAUCUCCUUUGCAAAAUUUACAAGGGUCACUUUGGACUAACCCAAUCGGAGAUGAUAUAGAGCUCAACAGUGUUUGAUGAUUAUGCCAUGAAAAAAAUUUCAACUGUGAUUCUCAGUUAAAAUGUACUUCAUCUCCCGUGAGGCAGCCAUUAACAGCAUGGGUUAUUCAAUGAGUAGGUUGGAUAUAGAUUCUGACCAAACUAUGCGACAAUGAAAAGACCACUUUGAUGCUGCUGGCAGCCAUAGCCCCCAAAGCCGUUCAAUUCUCUUGACCAUGAACUUGCUCAGGCAACAAUGCUCUAAUCAGCACCCCCUGAGCAUCUGAGCUGGAUCCUGCCGAGUAAAAGGGAGCGCAUACCGGUACCCGUGCUCCAUAGUAUGCUGGUUUAUGUAUAGUCAUCUAGAUCUUGUCAACUAUAUGACAGCUUUUGUCUUACAUUGUCAUACUUAUACUGCUUAAGUUACUGAAGAUUUGAAUUGGAUCCUCCAAUGCAGCGACAUUGUUGAAAUGGCAAGCUACGCACCUCUGUUUGUGAAUGCCAAUGAAAGACAGUACAUUUUCCCUUCUUUUUCUCUACAACUUUUUCAUCUGAUCUCUUUAUGUGUUUCUGUAGUAAUUUGAACUAGUAUGCUAAUAUUAUGUUCAAUACAGGUGGAACCCAGAUGUGAUUGUUUUAACUCCUACCAGCUGUAAGGAACUCCCAGUUUCUGGAUGCAACACUUUUUUCCGGAGUCAAGUGGUGGCACUCUGCUUAAUUCAACACUACGAGAAAAUUCUUCAAGUUCCCUAAUUGCUUAUGCUAUUGCUUGGAAGAUAACAAGAAUUACAUGAGAAUAAAGCAAGGACAAAUUGUACAUGUCGGUGCCUCAAUGAGAUAAGACCUUAAUCACGCUUCUGUGAAUAGAAUCUAUGUGACGUUUGGGCUUCAUCAAAUGUUUCACUACAUCUGGGAAAGAUAGAGAAUGCUGAUGAGAUCUUAAUCAAGCAUGCAGGUGUCAGAUUGCAGAUGCGAAAUUUGGAGGGGUGGAGAGGGAUGACCUUGCUAUGGAGGAUUUCAAAUUUUCAAUCGCUUUGUGGAGGACAAUGACUUGAUUGAUAUUGGUUAUGUGGGUUAUCCAUUUACAUGGAAUAACAAGAGGGGAGGCAGAGCAAACAUUCGUAUGCGCCUUGAUAGGGCAUUGGUGAAUCCCAGGUGGAGGAUUGAAUGCCCUAAUGGGACUCUUCUUCAUCUCCCGCCCGGGGGGUCAGAUCAUUGCUCUAUUCCAUUAAGGUAUGGACCUGCUAAUCCAGCUCGUAUGUCGAUGUUUAUGUUUGAUUCACGUUGGGCUGGUAUAGAAACUUGUGGGAACAUUGUUAGGUCCUGCUGAGCUGAAUCUUUUGUUGGUUCGAGGUGGUUUUGUAUUCAACAGAAAAUCAGGUUAUGCCGGAAGAAAAUCAGGCAGUGGAGGGCCUCUCAGAGGUUAAACUCCAGUGUCAGACUACGUGAGCUGCAACAUCAGUUGGAUUAUGAAUAUACCGGGGACGAAUUUAAUGCAGAUGCAUAUAGAAGAAUAGAGGAUUGCAUUCAGAUAGCCCAUGGUGAGGAGGAGGAAUAUUGGCGAAAAUCUCUUGGCUUAAGAGUGGGGACAAAAAUACCGCUUUUUUCCAUGCGAGAACGAUUCAGUGUUGAGCUAAAAUUCAUGGGUUGGAGGAUAAGGAUGGAAUUUGGAAGGAUAAUGGUACCGAGGUAAAAAAGAUUAUAUGUGAUUACUUUCAGCAUAUUUUCUCAUCUUCUAAUCCUUCAUCUACUGAGGAAGUGGCAAAUGGGAUUCAACCCAAGGUCUCGGAUGGGAUGAAUGCCAGACUCAUGAUCUCAAGGAUGCCAUUCGGAGUUUUAUGCACUCAGGUAAGCUCUUGAGAGGUAUGAACCACACAAAUCUAGUUCUUAUCCCCAAGGUUAAAUGUCUGGCUAACAUGAUGCAGCUUCGACCCAUCAGUUGUGUAAUGUGGGUUACAAAAUUCUGGGCAAAUCGUCUUAGUAAAGUGCUGCCUUCAGUGAUCUCCCCCAACCAAUGUGCUUUUGCUCCAGGGCGAGUGAUUACUGAUGACAUAAUUAUUGGACAAGAGCUCUUCCAUCACCUUAAGAACCGUAGGUAUGGGAGAGUUCAUGAUGUGGCCAUAAAACUUGAUAUGAGCAAAGCAUGUGAGAUGACAGAGUGGAAUGGAUUUUUCUAGAGAAGAUUACGCUUAAACUGGGGUUUCAUCCGAAGUGGGUGGGGUGGAUCAAUGAGUGUUGGCGACUGUUUCUUUUUCAAUUCUGCUUGACGGACAGAUUUCGGGAUAUAUUCAGCCAUCCAGGGGGUUGCGUCAGGGCGACCCACUAGCUCCGUUUCUGUUUCUUUUGUGCGGGGAAGGACUGUCAGCUCUGCUACGGAAAGGAGAGGAAGACAGGAGUAUAACAGGUGUGCGGAUUCAUAGGAACAGCCCUGCAGUCAGCCAUCUUUUCUUUGCCGAUGAUACGCUAUUGUUUGGGGAGGCUUCUAAUCAGGCAGUUGCGAAUAUUAGAUGUAUUUCGGAGGUCUAUGGUAAAGCUUCGGGACAAAUUAUUAACUAUGGGAAGUCAUGUUGUUUCUUUAGCAGCAAUACAUCAGUGGAUAUACGGGGUUGAGUCAACUUUUGGGGAUCCGGCGUGAUGUUAAUUUGGGUGCGUACUUGGGUCUACCAACUGAUCUUAGCCAGACUAGACACAAGACCUUUUCCUACAUCAAGGAUGGCAUGAAUGGAGGAACGGAAGGGUGGAACGAGAUAUCCUUAACAAUGCAGGGAAAGAAGUGAUGUUGAAGUCUAGACCCACCUGAACUAUGCCAUGUCAUGUGUGAAGCUUCCCGUUAAACUUUGCAAUGAGCUGAGCUGAGCUGAGCUGAAUGCAUUAAUUGCACGGUUUUGGUGGGGUUCCAAGGGGAGUAACAACAAAAUCCUUUGGCUUUCCUGGGCUAAAAUGACGGAGAAGAAACAUGAUGGUGGUCUGGGAUUUAAGGAUCUCAGAUGCUUUAAUUUAGCUCUCCUUGCAAAACAGGGGUGGCGACUUAUGCAUGGAGGGGACAGCUUGCUUCGUAGAGAGUCCUAGAAGCGAAGUACUACCCUCGUUGCUCUUUUAUGAGGGCCUCUGCUAAACCUAGUUGAACAGCAUUGAUGCUGAGACGUAAUGGACUGAUGGAGCAUAGAGAAGGAGGAGAAGGGAGCAACCGAGAAGGAAAAAGGAUCUUUGGAGGAGCGUUUGGCAGCUCCCAACUCAAGGUAAAAUUCAGCAUUUUAUUUGGAAAUGUUUUCAUGAUAUAGUCCCCGUCAAAGAUGUGUUAGUUAAAAGAGGUCUGGUUUAUGAUGUUUUGUGUCCUCGCUGUAAGGAGGAUAGGGAAUCUGUUAUCUACCUAUUUGUCAGACAUAUUGCCUUUCGAACCACAAGGCACUAACUUGCUAAAGAAACAGAUCAUACAAUUUAGCCAAAAUAAGUAACAAAUAUACACUAAAUUAAAACCA